UAUCUGCUAGGCGAUACCCCCAAAACACCGAGUAUCUUCUUCUUCACUGAUACCCGCCCCCAUCUCUCUCUCUCUCAAAAUCUUCUUCUUCUUCGAUGACCUAGGUCAUCUUCUCAAAAUCUUGCUACAAACUCCGAUACCCCCAUAUAUUUCUCUUCGAUGACCUAGGGUUCGUUGUUUUCGUGAAUUUCUGAACAAAUUGGUUUUGGGGUUUUAUUCUAAUUGGUGUCAAGAAGUUGUGGCUGAAGCUUGGGUUCAUUUGUUUGGUGUCGAAAAUCGAAUUUCUGGUGCUGAAGCUAGAAGAACAGCUUCAAAUUUCUGGAGUUGAGUGCCUGAAGCUGUUGCGUAGCCUAUGCACUCCUCGACGCAUCAGAUAUUAUUAGCUGAGAGAAAGUUUAUUUCUGGUAGCCGAGGAGAAAUCAUUGCUGGUAACAUAGGGAACACUCGUUGCUGAAAAUGAAAGAAACCAACACUGCGAAUCGCAAAAAGUUGAGAUAUCCACACACUGCUGGCAAAAAAGUUUU